UCAACUGCACAGGGAGAGGCUCCGGGGGAAGGCAUGUGGCUGCCAUGCUGUGCAGGUGCACUGCAGAAUGAAGAAGGAGUUUUGGUGGGGGUCAGACCUCAGCGUAGAAGUGCGCAGCUUUCCUGGAAAGAGCUCAGACAAAAGCAACACCAAUCUCAGCCAGCAAAACAAAUCAGCAUUUCCCCUGAACGGCGUGGAUGAGGAUGAAGAAAAGAGGAAGGAAUGGAGUUUGUUUUCACGUGCCCUGGUGUUGUGCAACAGUCCAACGUCCUCUGGGCAAUUGUAAAAACCCCACGCGCCCCACGCUGCUGAGCUCACGCUGGCCUUAUCUCAGUCAGCAAAUAAAACAAAAUAGUCACCCGACAAUUUAACUGGGAGGACUUUCUGCGGCUCUGCCUUAUCUCUGCACGCAGAGUGAAACCAUCCUGCUGACGUGAGCCCCGUCUUCUGCGAGGGAGCUGGGACGCAGCGUCCGAUGCGUGGUACAGACCUGCCUGGGACCACGCUGUAGUGACGCACAGGGGAGGCCUCCCCAGCCCAGGUUUGCCACGUGGUUGAUAAUUACCAGCUCUGCCUGACCAUCCUUCGGGUCGCAGGGCUGCAGCAUCCCUCUGCCAGCAGUGAGCCAAGUUGAUGACAGCAGUAGAGCUCACCGUUUGGGUGCCUUCAUCCUGCAAGCCCUCCUCACCCACAUACCAGCUGCCUCAUGCUUUGUGUGUUCAGGGCACACGGCACCAUCCCUUACCGUAAGCAUGACAGCUCCUAUCUCUCUGUUUACACAAAGGGCAUGAAGCAAGUAGACAUCCCUGUGGGCCCACCAAGACCUUGGUGGACGGACCAGAACACAGUCCCAAGGAGCACAAGGACAUAAGCAAGUCUGCAUGCGUGACCCUCCAUCAGAGGGCAAAGAGCUGGGUGGUGACUUGAAACGUUCUGGGAAUCAAAAACGUGCCCACACAAGCAAAAAAGUGUUUGCUUCUUGUUUGUCAGCUCUGUGUGAUUCAACUAGACUUGAUCUCGAAGGUCUUCCAGCUGAGAUGAACCCAUGAGUUGUAAAGGAGCUUACCAUGAAGAUAUGCUCUGGUAACGCCAGGGUGACGGUGGGGGGCUGCCCAGGUCCACAUGGUCCCUGAGGAGAUCGCAGCCUGCAUCCCUCCACCAGCCAGCAGGGUGUUCGGUGUGCCUGAGGCCACGUGCAGCUCCUUGCUGUGCUGCCAAGGUCCCUGAGGCCCCCCAAGGACACAGCCCCAGGACAAGCACCCUGCUGCAGGCAUGGAGGCCCAGCAACGCUCCCUGGGCAGCAUAGGGGCUGCUGGGGGGUUCUGCAGCCAAAUGGAGCGAAGUGCGGGGACAGAGACAGAAUGAAAACUUGAGGUUGGGAAAUCAAAAUGCUCGAGAUAAAUUAAAAAAGAUAUAUAUAUAAGCAAUUAAUCAACACUUAAAACCCACUUCCUCCCCCAAAUGGUUUCGAAAGAUACAGUAUUUUUGCAGCCGAGCUCUGAGCAGCAACAAUUUCCUGAUUUCCUGUGCUCAAGCCGUCCAGGAGACCUGGGCACUGCUGGAGGAUUUAUGUCUUACCGGUAUUUGCUCCUUGCACAACUGAAAAACAGCCCUCCGAAAGAAGAGGAACGAUCCUGUUUGUCGUUGGUUUCUCUAUACGCAGCACAUGAAGUGGAUGUAGAAGUGAGAUGUCUCCAGUGCCCAGCAUGGCUGUGCGCUGCCCCCAGGGAUGCUCACAGCUGGGUUCCUGCCCACCCACCCGCUGCUCCCAACUCACUCCCUACUGAGGUGAACCGGUCCAGGGCCAGAACCUUGGGGGUUCUUGGGUAAGGUUCACAUCCUGAAGCGAUUACAGACACAGAUGAGGUGUUUUAAGAAAGAGAAUGAAGAGAAAUGCUAACACGCAUCAUUCCUGGAGGUGUUGCAGAGAUGCGGCGCUGAGGGACCCCAUCAGUGGGCAUGGUGGGAUGGGCUGGGGUUGGACAUAAUGACUUCAGGGGUCUUUUCCUACACUAACAGUCAGUCAGUUUGGCAAUGGCAAAGCAAAAGGGGGAACGUUUGUGCUCCGUGGAGCUAGAGGAAGGCACGAGCCUUGUGCCAAUUCAUCUCAGAUGAACUUUGCCAGAACACAGGAACAAGAUAAAAAGAAGUGGCAGCACUUGAACUCCCUGGGACUACAGAGCAUCUCAUCAAGGGCUGCAGAAAGGAAAUGUAGCUGUGGGAGGGAAGGCGGCUUGAUACACUCUCCCACCCACCUCUGCUUCCUAUGGCUCCAAAUCUGCCCCCUGGGACUCAGCCUCUAUUGAGCAGAGACGCUGAGAAAUAAGAUAUUAUCCACUAAAAGCUAAAUACGAACGUUCAAGCAGAGAUUUAAGGAUAAUAGCACAAGAUUUCUGCAGUGGUCACUGCCCUAGGACAGGAGCCAGGAGAAUCUGAUGGAAGAAUCUGUCCUGUAGCCAGCUGCACAGUCUGGUACCACAGUAGGAAGGAAUAUGUGCAAAAAAAAUGUUGUAAUUAAUUUUUUUUUUUUCCUUAAAGCUCAUAGAUUUCAAGAUUAGAGAAACACACCCAGAAUGGUUUUUAACUAUCCAAAGGAACAAAGGAGGUUUGCAAGUGAUGUAUUUUUAUGAAGACUCAGACAAUAUCCACAAGUCCCUUCUUGUAAUAAAACUUGGAGCUUUGCAUGAA